rnacentral:rRNA from 1 species
CCUACGGGUGGCAGCAGUGAGGAAUAUUGGUCAAUGGACGAGAGUCUGAACCAGCCAAGUAGCGUGAAGGAUGACUGCCCUAUGGGUUGUAAACUUCUUUUAUAUGGGAAUAAAAUGUUCCACGUGUGGGAUUUUGUAUGUACCAUAUGAAUAAGGAUCGGCUAACUCCGUGCCAGCAGCCGCGGUAAUACGGAGGAUCCGAGCGUUAUCCGGAUUUAUUGGGUUUAAAGGGAGCGUAGGUGGAUUGUUAAGUCAGUUGUGAAAGUUUGCGGCUCAACCGUAAAAUUGCAGUUGAAACUGGCAGUCUUGAGUACAGUAGAGGUGGGCGGAAUUCGUGGUGUAGCGGUGAAAUGCUUAGAUAUCACGAAGAACUCCGAUUGCGAAGGUAGUUCACUGGACUGCAACUGACACUGAGGCUCGAAAGUGUGGGUAUCAAACAGGAUUAGAUACCCGAGUAGUC